AUUGAACGCUGGCGGCAGGCUUAACACAUGCAAGUCGAACGAGUGGCGGACGGGUGAGUAAUGCUUGGGAAUCUGCCUUAUGGAGGGGGAUAACUACGGGAAACUGUAGCUAAUACCGCGUACCAUAGGAUGAGCCCAAGUGGGAUUAGGUAGUUGGUGAGGUAAAGGCUCACCAAGCCGACGAUCCCUAGCUGGUCUGAGAGGAUGACCAGCCAAAACGGGAAUGGGAAACGGCUCAGAAUCCUACGGGAGGCAGCAGGGGGGAAACUUCCGAAAUGGGCGAAAGGCUGGCGGAGCAACGGCGGGGGAGUGAUGACAGGCUUCGGGUUUGAAAGUACGUUAAGCGGGACGACGGUACCGGAAUAAAAAGCAACGGCUAACUACGUGCCAGCAGCCGCGGUAAUUC
rnacentral:rRNA from 1 species